CGGAGCGUGGCGCAGCCCGGUUAGCGCACCGGUCUGGGGGACCGGGGGUCGUAGGUUCAAAUCCUAUCGCUCCGACCA
rnacentral:tRNA from 1 species